AGUAGGAUAGCUGGAUCAAAUGGUAGUUGGUCCCAUUCCAAGAUUUCUAAGGAAUCUGCAUACUGCUUUUCAGAUUGGUUGCACCAAUUUGCAGUCCCAUCAGCCAU
rnacentral:pre_miRNA from 1 species